rnacentral:misc_RNA from 1 species
ACGUCGUUCGGUCGAAGCGCGUUCAGCGCUAGUUAUNNNGGCANANNAGNUCGGNGACCCUUUGCCNCCCGCGUUUUCCGUAUUCCUGAGGUCGGGCGAGCGAUCGUGGGCCGCGACAACAGCAAAAAAAAUACAUGCGAAUGCCGCAGAACGCGAUCGUCACCUAACGGUUCACCCGUAGAAGCACCGUUUAGAACGGGCAGCGCACGGACGAACGGUACAAAUUUCGACGAACGAAUUCCAUCAACGUAGGUAUGCAACACAGGAAACCGCACGCGACGGACGAGGCUAACGUAGCUCUCGCACCAACGANUGAAGAAGACCGCAC